rnacentral:rRNA from 1 species
GAUGAACGCUGGCGGCGUGCCUAAUACAUGCAAGUCGAGCGAACGGACGAGAAGCUUGCUUCUCUGAUGUUAGCGGCGGACGGGUGAGUAACACGUGGAUAACCUACCUAUAAGACUGGGAUAACUUCGGGAAACCGGAGCUAAUACCGGAUAAUAUUUUGAACCGCAUGGUUCAAAAGUGAAAGACGGUCUUGCUGUCACUUAUAGAUGGAUCCACGCUGCAUUAGCUAGUUGGUAAGGUAACGGCUUACCAAGGCAACGAUGCAUAGCCGACCUGAGAGGGUGAUCGGCCACACUGGAACUGAGACACGGUCCAGACUCCUACGGGAGGCAGCAGUAGGGAAUCUUCCGCAAUGGGCGAAAGCCUGACGGAGCAACGCCGCGUGAGUGAUGAAGGUCUUCGGAUCGUAAAACUCUGUUAUUAGGGAAGAACAUAUGUGUAAGUAACUGUGCACAUCUUGACGGUACCUAAUCAGAAAGCCACGGCUAACUACGUGCCAGCAGCCGCGGUAAUACGUAGGUGGCAAGCGUUAUCCGGAAUUAUUGGGCGUAAAGCGCGCGUAGGCGGUUUUUUAAGUCUGAUGUGAAAGCCCACGGCUCAACCGUGGAGGGUCAUUGGAAACUGGAAAACUUGAGUGCAGAAGAGGAAAGUGGAAUUCCAUGUGUAGCGGUGAAAUGCGCAGAGAUAUGGAGGAACACCAGUGGCGAAGGCGACUUUCUGGUCUGUAACUGACGCUGAUGUGCGAAAGCGUGGGGAUCAAACAGGAUUAGAUACCCUGGUAGUCCACGCCGUAAACGAUGAGUGCUAAGUGUUAGGGGGUUUCCGCCCCUUAGUGCUGCAGCUAACGCAUUAAGCACUCCGCCUGGGGAGUACGACCGCAAGGUUGAAACUCAAAGGAAUUGACGGGGACCCGCACAAGCGGUGGAGCAUGUGGUUUAAUUCGAAGCAACGCGAAGAACCUUACCAAAUCUUGACAUCCUUUGACAACUCUAGAGAUAGAGCCUUCCCCUUCGGGGGACAAAGUGACAGGUGGUGCAUGGUUGUCGUCAGCUCGUGUUGUGAGAUGUUGGGUUAAGUCCCGCAACGAGCGCAACCCUUAAGCUUAGUUGCCAUCAUUAAGUUGGGCACUCUAAGUUGACUGCCGGUGACAAACCGGAGGAAGGUGGGGAUGACGUCAAAUCAUCAUGCCCCUUAUGAUUUGGGCUACACACGUGCUACAAUGGACAAUACAAAGGGCAGCGAAACCGCGAGGUCAAGCAAAUCCCAUAAAGUUGUUCUCAGUUCGGAUUGUAGUCUGCAACUCGACUACAUGAAGCUGGAAUCGCUAGUAAUCGUAGAUCAGCAUGCUACGGUGAAUACGUUCCCGGGUCU